rnacentral:rRNA from 1 species
GUUAAUAUUCGUCAGCCCCUUACACAACAAAUGGUGACGGCUUGGGCAAAGUCAAUGGAUCAUAUGCCAGGUCCAUCGAUACCUAAUUUCUGGAGAACUGUCAUAGUGAGAAGGAAAGAAAGUCCCAGGUCCCAUGAAAAGCCGUGUAAGGUGACCGUACCGAGAACUGAAACAGGUGUUUUUGGGUGAGUAGCCUAAGGCGUAUCGGAUACAAAUAUCGCGAGGGAACUCGGCAAAAUAGCUCCGUAACUUCGGGAGAAGGAGUGCCAGAUUGGGAACAAUCUGGUCGCAGUGACUAGGGAGCUCCGACUGUUUAAUAAAAACAUAGGGGACUGCCAGAUCGAAAGGUUGUGUAUAGUCCCUGAAUCCUGCUCAGUGCUGGUAUCUUAAAUCGGGUUUCAACCUGACGAAGGACCAGUAAACAGCGGGGGUAACUAUGACCCUCUUAAGGUAGCGUAAUACCUUGUCGCUUAAUUGGCGACUUGCAUGAAUGGUCCAACGAGGGCUCCACUGUCCCCGCGAUAUGUCCGGCGAAAUUGACUUUACUGGCGCACAGUCCAGUACAUUCUACCCGCAAGCGAAGACCCCAUAGAGCUUUACUGCAGCCUGUCGUUGCAUAGUCGCUUUCCAUGUACUGUGUAGGUGGGAGACGUUGAUCCCAGGGACGCCAGUCCCUGGAGGAGUUGAAAGAAGAGACACCACCCUUGGAAGGUAACUAUGCUAACUGUUGAUCAGGACACCGAUUGGUGGGCAGUUUGGGUGGGGCGCCACGCGCUCGAAAACCUAACAAGCGUGCCCAAAGGUCAGCUUAGGUGGUUCAGCACUCCACCGAUAACUGUAAGGGGAAAAGCUGGCUUGACGUGGAUCCGCACAAUAAGGAUCGACGAUGCGAAAGCAGGGCCUAACGAACCUACCAGCCUUAUUUCUGAGGGCGGUAGAUAACAGAAAAGUUACCUUGGGGAUAAUUGAGUUGUCACCAGCAAGAGCUCACAUCGACCUGGUGGCUUGCUACUUCGAUGUCGUCUCUUCCUAUCCUGGGUCUGCAGCAGGACCCAAGGGUGGGGUUGUUCGCCCAUUAAAAGGGAUCGUGAGAUGGGUUUAGACCGUCGUGAGACAGGUUUGUUGCUUGGUGGUAGAAUCGCGUAAGGUGUCUGAUGGAAGGGGCCCUUUAGUACGAGAGGAACGAGGGCUCGGGGCCACUAGUUUACCAGUUGUCUGGCAAGGCAAUGCUGGGUAGCCACGCCCUGAUGGAUAAGAGCUGAAAGCAUCUAAGCUCGAAGCCGCCCCAGAGACGAGACACCUCAGAACGCUCGUAAAAGACGAGUUUGAUAGACUGCGGAUGUAAGCACGAAGCUUCGGCGACGUGUUCAGUCCAGCAGCACUAAUUGUUCGAGCAUCUUUUUC